GAUCUAGAAAGUCCGAGUUUAAGUUUGGGGUCUGUACUGGCGUUUUCCAAAGCUCUGGCGGAUGGUACAAAACUAAAAAAGAAGGGAAUCUUGGCAGAAAAGGGAAGCCGGAGAAGGAGCCGAGCCGCUCGGAUUGAGCAGCCGGUGGAAGAAGAGGCACCCCGCCGCUCGGGGCCCUCCAAACCUGAGCCCACACAGACCAGACCAAAGCAGAGAAGCUCCAAGCUGGCCUCUCCCCGGAUUGCCUCAGCAGGGCACGGAGGAAGCCAGAGGCAUCACCGGUCUGUGAUCACAGGACUCCAGCUCUCCACUGUAGUCGUCAUCAGCCUUGAUGAUAAAUCCAUACACUAACCUCAGCGAGUCUGAAUUGUUUACCAUCACAUUUGAUGCCAGCAUCAAUCAGACUGGGCCAGAUAUGAUCAUGGUUCUGUCUCCAUACACAGUAUCAAGCUAUGGAAAAGGCAAACCUUAAAAUACUUUUGAUUAUUCAAAGGGUACUUUCAGUUUCGCAAUGUUGUGUAACCUUACUGAUAGCUUCACUGAGCUAUGAAAACUAAUUUUCAUAGUUCUGAAAUUGUUCUGUACAUUUGUGGCCACUGUAUACUAUAUAUAUAUGUGUGUGUGUGUGCGUGUGUGUGCCAUUUCUAUACAGGAUAUAAACAAAGCAUCAUACUGAUGAUGAUUAAAUCCCCCAAACAAUUUGUUUUUGUCUGGGAAUAUAUAAAUAAAUAUAUACAGUAUGUACUGAUUAAUUUAGUUUGUAUAAAUCAUGCUAUUUUGUAAAUGUUUGGGAUGGCAGUCUUAUAGGUAGACUGGGAAGCUUUUUUUCUAAAACUGAUUUUAGCUUUAAUCAUUUUUAAGUUUAAGAGGAUUCUGGGAACAUAAGUUGAAUAAUUAAACACUUGAUCCAUAGUCAAAUGUUUGAUUAUGGAGAAUGGAGCUUUUAUAAAGAGGGGUUAGUUUUUAAUAUCAAUAAUCUCAUAAUUCUUCUGAAUCCCACUGCACAUAUGUUUUAUGCGUUACAAGUGAAAAAAUAAAGGCAGUAGAAGCUGUACAAUUAAAUGAACAUGUGUAGCCUGGACUACGUAGUUUUUAAACAGCCAACAGAGACAAUUAUAUUUUAUGGAUCAACAUUUUUAUUUCUAGUCAUUCCUUUUAUAAAAUUAUGUUUUUGUGUAAGUACAACCUUCACUGAAUGUUUGUUAAUUCUGAUUUAACAGCUUUUACUUUAUUUUUGUACUGACAGUUUGCAGCCAAAUUUGUCUACUGCUAUCCUCAGUCCGAAAAAAGAAGCACAAUACCUGGUUAAAUAAAGUCUACAUAACUA